rnacentral:misc_RNA from 1 species
GUGAAUCAUCGAAUCUUUGAACGCAAAUUGCACUCCCUGGUAUUCCGGGGAGUAUGCCUGUUUGAGGGUCGUUAGAAUAAAAAAUCGAGGUGUCGCUCUUUUUUUUAAGGGUGAUCGCGGAGUAAUUGAUUCGUCUUUCAAAUGUUAAUUCAUGUCAAAGUGGUUUACAUUUCAUCGAUUAUGUGCGAUGUAUGCGUAUGCAAGAUCAAUAUUGAGUAAGAACGCGCGAUGACGUACCAGCUCAUGUAGUACGGUUGACCUGGGUCAUCAGGCUUAUU